GACGAGCGCUGGCGGCGUGCCUAAUACAUGCAAGUCGAGCGAAUCAAUGGGAGCUUGCUCCCUGAGAUUAGCGGCGGACGGGUGAGUAACACGUGGGUAACCUGCCUGUAAGACUGGGAUAACUUCGGGAAACCGGAGCUAAUACCGGAUACUUUCUUUUCUCGCAUGAGGGAAGAUGGAAAGAUGGUUCUGCUAUCACUUACAGAUGGACCCGCGGCGCAUUAGCUAGUUGGUGAGGUAACGGCUCACCAAGGCAACGAUGCGUAGCCGACCUGAGAGGGUGAUCGGCCACACUGGGACUGAGACACGGCCCAGACUCCUACGGGAGGCAGCAGUAGGGAAUCUUCCGCAAUGGACGAAAGUCUGACGGAGCAACGCCGCGUGAGCGAAGAAGGCCUUCGGGUCGUAAAGCUCUGUUGUUAGGGAAGAACAAGUACGAGAGUAACUGCUCGUACCUCGACGGUACCUAACCAGAAAGCCACGGCUAACUACGUGCCAGCCGCCGCGGUAAAAC
rnacentral:rRNA from 1 species